rnacentral:rRNA from 1 species
UUUUAUGGAGAGUUUGAUCCUGGCUCAGGAUGAACGCUGGCGGCGUGCCUAAUACAUGCAAGUCGAGCGAACAGACGAGGAGCUUGCUCCUCUGACGUUAGCGGCGGACGGGUGAGUAACACGUGGAUAACCUACCUAUAAGACUGGGAUAACUUCGGGAAACCGGAGCUAAUACCGGAUAAUAUAUUGAACCGCAUGGUUCAAUAGUGAAAGACGGUUUUGCUGUCACUUAUAGAUGGAUCCGCGCCGCAUUAGCUAGUUGGUAAGGUAACGGCUUACCAAGGCAACGAUGCGUAGCCGACCUGAGAGGGUGAUCGGCCACACUGGAACUGAGACACGGUCCAGACUCCUACGGGAGGCCGCAGUAGGGAAUCUUCCGCAAUGGGC